rnacentral:tRNA from 1 species
UCCCUGGUAUCUUAGUCAGUAAAGAAUCUGCCUGCAGUGCAGGAGACCUGGGUUCAAUCCCCAGGCCUGGAA